CGAAAGCGGUUACUUACGACGCAAAGUAGGUAAAAGUCCUACGCCGACCUAAGAAGACCAUUGGAGUUUGUCAUGGGUGAUGAGGUAAUCUUGAAGGUGAGUCCGUGUAGGGGAAUUCAGAGAUUUAGCAAGCAAAGGAAGCUAGCUUUGCGGUAUAUCGGUUGGCUCUUCUUCCACGAUUGUUCAAGGUUCAUAAUGUGUUUCAUGUGUCGGUAUUGAGAAAAUAUGAACCAGAUCCAUCACAUGUGUUGGAUUGGUCCACUUUAGAGGUGGAAGAAGAUGAGACGUAUAUUUUACAACCAUUGCGAAUCCUGGAUAGACGGGAAAAGGUUACGAGAUCAAGUGUAAUUCCAUUAGUAAAGGUAUUAUGGUUGCAUCACGGGACGGAGGAAGCAACGUGGGAGUUGGAGUUCAAGAUGCGGGAAAGAUAUCCCGACUUGUUCAUAUCCACGGGUACGUACAUAAAUUUCAAGGGCGAAAUUUUUAUAAGGAAUGGAGGAUGAGGGUCCCAAAAUAAAAAUAAAUAAAAUAUGGAAUAAUAAAAAUAAAAUGAAUGAAUGGGACUUUGAUAUGAAAAGAAGAAAGGUUGUGGUGUGAAAUUGGAAUGUCAUAAGGGCUUAAAAGAAACCUUGAAAAUAAACUUGGGUUGAAGUAAAAUAAAGGAAAGGAAAAUAAAGAUUUUAAAAAUAUAUAUAAUAAUAAAAGAGAAAAGGGCUCCUGCACAAGCGAUUCUCAUGUUCUUAAAAAGAAAAAAAAUUUGUCUUCCCCUUUUCUCUCCAUACACUCAUAGUCACCCACGGCAGCCACUUUCGACAACAUUCCGGUGAGCUUUCUGACUGGUCAAGGGUGCUUCAAAGUUGAAACCUACACCCACACUUCAUUUGCUUAAGAAAAUAGAAGGAUUAAGAUUCAUGUGUGGUUCUUGAACCAAUUCAGCAGGAGGCUUGGAAUUCUUGAGUUGGUGGAACUAACAAGUUUCAAGAUAAGGUUUCUUGACUCAAAUUGUUCAAAUUUAGGUUGGGUUAGGAUGAAAAUAAAUUCUGAUAGAAGUUUGAUUGUUUAACCUUAAAAAAUUAAGAUAGAAUGUGAAUAUCUAUUAAAUGGGUUAGAUUGUGGAGUAUGGAAUGUGAGACUUGAAUGGGUUGGUGAAUAUGGAAACUUAAUGGAGCCUAUCUUAAUGAAUAGGUUAGUGAAUUGGCGUGGAGUGUACGUUGCUUUCUUGGUGAGGAUUGCGAGUUCACUUCGAGGUAGGGAUUUCUCACCCUUUUAUUUGAAAACACUUUCCAGCUACCGAAUUGCUUGAAUGGUAAGCUUUGGUUUCCACCUCGAACCUUUCCGUGGGGAAACAAGCCUUGCAUGCUUACCAUUGUUUUCUUUGUAUUAAUGUCAAUGACAAUGUUAUUGGUGAUUUAAUAUGGUGAAUGUUCAUAACCCUUGAAAUGCUUGGUCAUAAAUCAGGCAUUGUGUGAUUCUUCAUGCAUCAUGAUGAAUGUAUGUUUUUGUAUAUAUAUGUUGCACGAAUGACGUGAAUUCUAUGAAUUUACAUUAGAUGCAUGGUGGUUCCCGAGGAUGGUCCUGGGCUCACGUUAGGUGAUGGAUGUUAUUUGAGCAGGUGUGUGGAUGAUGGAUAGGAGCCUUGUGAUGGUCCUAAUCCAUAGGAUUCUCGUAGCGAUAUUUAUUACUACACGUUGGCUAGUUGUCCGACGCUAGAAUAGGCAUGGCAGGUUGAGAUAUCACUGUGGGGCCAGUAGUGAGUGGUUACGACCUCAUACGUGCCAACUUUCUCUCUAGCGGUUUGAGAUUGACGUGAUGGAUGACUGGUAUUUGGUUCUUGGUUUUGGUUGGAUGCUAGAGAGAGAGGUAGCGUGGAUGGAUUCUCGUCGGCUUUGGUGUCAUUAGAGGCGGAUAUGGAGGUUCGGUUGGGUUGAUCGGGUGUAUUAGUUUUGCAUUGCAUAUUGUUGCAUCUAUUACACAUUAUUACUUUUUCAUCCUUAUUAUUCUUUUCUUGUAUUCUAUCAUUUUGUUUCUAUUGAGCCUUCUGCUCACCCUAUCUAUUUUUCUCCCUACAAGUGAGACAGGAUCUAGUGCAUAGGCUACGGAUCAGUAGGAGGACGCGUGACGUAGGUGGCCUGGACUUUUGUGUGUUCUUUUGCGUUUAUGUGGUACAUGUGUGUGAUUAUAUAUAUUUGGAUGUAUAUGUAUGACUUGUUGUUUGCAUGCCAUAGUUGUGUGAGUAGGUUGUUGUAGUUGGAGUAAUAUUCAUGUUUUGGAGUGGAUUGUAUUUGGUUAGCCGAGAGUGGUGUCCUGUGGCUACUGUGUGACUGAUGACAAUGAUGGGAUGUGUAUGACUAUGGACCCUGAGGGUCGGUUUACUUUUGGAAGUGUUAGACAUUAUUUGGUUUAUUGUAUGUUUGCUUACAGGUUGGGUUUCCCAAUUUAUGGGGAGAUGCUGUCGAAAUUUCUGGUGA